rnacentral:rRNA from 1 species
UGCCAGACUCCUACGGGAGGCAGCAGUGAGGAAUAUUGGUCAAUGGGCGUAAGCCUGAACCAGCCAAGUCGCGUGAGGGAUGAAGGAUCUAUGGUUCGUAAACCUCUUUUAUAAGGGAAUAAAGUGCGGGACGCGUCCCGCUUCGCAUGUACCUUAUGAAUAAGGAUCGGCUAACUCCGUGCCAGCAGCCGCGGUAAUACGGAGGAUCCGAGCGUUAUCCGGAUUUAUUGGGUUUAAAGGGUGCGCAGGCGGAUUUUUAAGUCAGCGGUCAAAUCGUGGGGCUCAACCCCAUCCCACCGUUGAAACUGGGGAUCUAGAGUGUGCGAGAGGUAUGCGGAAUGCGUGGUGUAGCGGUGAAAUGCAUAGAUAUCACGCAGAACCCCGAUUGCGAAGGCAGCAUACCGGUGCACGACUGACGCUCAGGCACGAAAGCGUGGGUAUCGAACAGGAUUAGAUACCCUGGUA